rnacentral:rRNA from 1 species
AUUGAACGCUGGCGGCAUGCCUUACACAUGCAAGUCGAACGGCAGCGCGGGAGCAAUCCUGGCGGCGAGUGGCGAACGGGUGAGUAAUACAUCGGAACGUGCCCAAUCGUGGGGGAUAACGCAGCGAAAGCUGUGCUAAUACCGCAUACGAUCUACGGAUGAAAGCAGGGGAUCGCAAGACCUUGCGCGAAUGGAGCGGCCGAUGGCAGAUUAGGUAGUUGGUGAGGUAAAGGCUCACCAAGCCUUCGAUCUGUAGCUGGUCUGAGAGGACGACCAGCCACACUGGGACUAAGACACGGCCCAGACUCCUACGGGAGGCAGCAGUGGGGAAUUUUGGACAAUGGGCGAAAGCCUGAUCCAGCCAUGCCGCGUGCAGGAUGAAGGCCUUCGGGUUGUAAACUGCUUUUGUACGGAACGAAACGGUCUUUUCUAAUAAAGAAGGCUAAUGACGGUACCGUAAGAAUAAGCACCGGCUAACUACGU